GGGAGAAUUAGAAGAAUCUCAUAUGGUGCUGGCUGUGAAAGACAGGGACCUUAAAAAGAAAAACAUCCUGCUGGAAAAGCUUAUGGACACUCACUUUGAAAGUCACAAAGUUAUUGAGGGCCUGCAGUCAGAACUGAUGAGGCUACAAGAGCACUCACAGCAAGCACUCUUCAGGUAAACACCACCGAUGCACCUCUCUGUCAGUCUGUUGUUUUAUGAGCAGGAAAAACCAAUUGAUACUUGUGAAAAGCAGCAAAAAAAGUCAUUAUUUAUGCUCAAAAUUAUUUAAAUUGCUCAGAAACACUAACUGUUUGCUUCCAUGUUUUCAGAGCUUGCACUGUUUAGACAACACCCCAAGGGGAAGGUAUUUUUUUCUUCUUCUUCUUUUUCUGGGAUUAUCAUCCCAAGAAUUUGGGAUAUUUAUUUAAUUGUGAGAUUUAAAAAAAGCAACUAAAUCACCUUUAAAAAGCCUAGUUUCGUUUCUCGGCUUA